GCGGAGCUUGCUCCACCGGAAAAAGAAGAGUGGCGAACGGGUGAGUAACACGUGGGUAACCUGCCCAUCAGAAGGGGAUAACACUUGGAAACAGGUGCUAAUACCGUAUAACAAUCGAAACCGCAUGGUUUUGAUUUGAAAGGCGCUUUCGGGUGUCGCUGAUGGAUGGACCCGCGGUGCAUUAGCUAGUUGGUGAGGUAACGGCUCACCAAGGCCACGAUGCAUAGCCGACCUGAGAGGGUGAUCGGCGACAUUGGGACUGAGACACGGCCCAAACUCCUACGGGAGGCAGCAGUAGGGAAUCUUCGGCAAUGGACGAAAGUCUGACCGAGCAACGCCGCGUGAGUGAAGAAGGUUUUCGGAUCGUAAAACUCUGUUGUUAGAGAAGAACAAGGAUGAGAGUAACUGUUCAUCCCUUGACGGUAUCUAACCAGAAAGCCACGGCUAACUACGUGCCAGCAGCCGCGGUAAAUCGUAGGUGGCAAGCGUUGUCCGGAUUUAUUGGGCGUAAAGCGAGCGCAGGCGGUUUCUUAAGUCUGAUGUGAAAGCCCCCGGCUCAACCGGGGAGGGUCAUUGGAAACUGGGAGACUUGAGUGCAGAAGAGGAGAGUGGAAUUCCAUGUGUAGCGGUGAAAUGCGUAGAUAUAUGGAGGAACACCAGUGGCGAAGGCGGCUCUCUGGUCUGUAACUGACGCUGAGGCUCGAAAGCGUGGGGAGCAAACAGGAUUAGAUACCCUGGUAGUCCACGCCGUAAACGAUGAGUGCUAAGUGUUGGAGGGUUUCCGCCCUUCAGUGCUGCAGCUAACGCAUUAAGCACUCCGCCUGGGGAGUACGACCGCAUGGUUGAAACUCAAAGGAAUUGACGGGGGCCCGCACAAGCGGUGGAGCACGUGGUUUAAUUCGAAGCAACGCGAAGAACCUUACCAGGUCUUGACAUCCUUUGACCACUCUAGAGAUAGAGCUUCCCCUUCGGGGGCAAAGUGACAGGUGGUGCAUGGUUGUCGUCAGCUCGUGUCGUGAGAUGUUGGGUUAAGUCCCGCAACGAGCGCAACCCUUAUUGUUAGUUGCCAUCAUUCAGUUGGGCACUCUAGCAAGACUGCCGGUGACAAACCGGAGGAAGGUGGGGAUGACGUCAAAUCAUCAUGCCCCUUAUGACCUGGGCUACACACGUGCUACAAUGGGAAGUACAACGAGUCGCGAAGUCGCGAGGCUAAGCUAAUCUCUUAAAGCUUCUCUCAGUUCGGAUUGUAGGCUGCAACUCGCCUACAUGAAGCCGGAAUCGCUAGUAAUCGCGGAUCAGCACGCCGCGGUGAAUACGUUCCCGGGCCUUGUACACACCGCCCGUCACACCACGAGAGUUUGUAACACCCGAAGUCGGUGAGGUAACCUUUUGGAGCCAGCCGCCUAAGGUGGC
rnacentral:rRNA from 1 species